AUUGAACGCUGGCGGCAUGCCUUACACAUGCAAGUCGAACGGCAGCACGGGAGCAAUCCUGGUGGCGAGUGGCGAACGGGUGAGUAAUAUAUCGGAACGUGCCCAGUCGUGGGGAUAACGCAGCGAAAGCUGUGCUAAUACCGCAUACGAUCUAUGGAUGAAAGCGGGGGAUCGCAAGACCUCGCGCGAUUGGAGCGGCCGAUAUCAGAUUAGCUAGUUGGUGGGGUAAAGGCCCACCAAGGCGACGAUCUGUAGCUGGUCUGAGAGGACGACCAGCCACACUGGAACUGAGACACGGUCCAGACUCCUACGGGAGGCAGCAGUGGGGAAUUUUGGACAAUGGCGCAAGCCUGAUCCAGCAAUGCCGCGUGCAGGA
rnacentral:rRNA from 1 species